CGUCAUCCUCCUCACGCGUUCGUCCGUAUGAUGUGUCGGAGCUGAGAUGCUGGGGCCGUACAAUAGUUGCCAUGGAUGGAUGGAACCACCUAGUGCGUUGACUUAGCAACUGGUCGAUGGGAAGGGAUGCCAGCCUGAGCAACUCCAAGCUAUGAACCUGUCUCAUGGGAGCGCCUAACGGAAGCUCGCGCGCCAGGUGUUCGACGCUUUGUCCCCCUUUAUACUCGUUUCAUGGGAGCAUUUCAUACUCUCUACUUAAAAAUAGUGCCAUGAGACUGGGGCACAUAAUUGAUUGGAGUUCCUUGAAUCACACCUGAUGCUGUUUUUCUUUGGAUAAAGUGUGGAUUGAUGCACCCUAGCGAACUGUAUAAACAGUUGUAUGUUUACCGGAUCUCGGCCGGCCCUCCCCGCUCCCUCUUUCCUCUCUAUAAUUGCAGAUUGUGCCCGUAUAUUACUAUGCAUUAAUGUGGGAUGUAUAGAGAGGCAUGAGUUCAGUUCAGUUCAGUUUAUAACAAGAGAUUCAGAGUAACGCUUGCAAUCUAUUCGAUGUUUUGUGCAAUAGGAAAUGGGCUUACACUCUGGAGAUCCUUAAGUUUUAAUUCCUUCUUGUCUCCCGUGCAGUUUUGUUACUGGUGAAAUUAUAUUGGUCAAGUGGAAUAAUAAAACCAAGUAUCAAGCCCUAAUCUUCAAGCUUUUCUAGAGAGGGUGAAAAGUUUUCUUUUCCGGAACUCUAGUGUAUUUAGUGAAAAAGGACACAUUCUUGUUCUGACAUUAGUUUAAUUUUUACAACUGCUUAGAUUUUUCUAGAGAGCGUGCAUUUGUUUUUCUUUUUACCUUAGUUUUGAGAUCCUUGUUUCAGGCCGCCCCUGCCACACCAGCCGCCGCCGCCGCAGCCCCGUCCAUGUCAUCCUUGUUCUUCCCCGUCCCUGCUGUCGAUGGCGAGGAUGACGACGAGGACGUUGACGAGUUCAAUGGCUUGGACGCACUGAGCGAGUACGACGCCGGCGUGACGGAGAUCGACGAGGAGGACGAAAAGGCCCUCACUGCAUUCAUGUCCAAGGAAACCUCCUCCAAAGGAUCGCUUUGUGAUAUCAUCCUCCAGAAGAUCAGAGAGGAGGACGCCACUGUCUCAACAUAAGGAGGGGAGCUGGCCUUCUUCACAUCUCGGGGGAGUGUCUUACUUGGAUUCAACAAGAAGGGGACCCGGCCUUCUUCAUGUCUUGUCCAACAAGGGUGAUCGACGCGGACUACCACAGCCUGGUGGGUGUCGUUCUCUUCAACCACUCGGAGGUGGACUUCUCCGUGAAGCCCGGAGACUGCGUCGUGCAGAUGAUCGUCCAGGUGAUUGCGAAUUGCAACGCCGGAGGUCGCCGAGGUGGAGGACCUCGACGUCACCGUCUGGCGGGAGGGAGGGUUUGGGUCCACCGGUGUUUGAACCCAGAGUCUUUGUAGUUACAUCUAGACAAGUGAUCUGGUUGUUUGCGGCUGAUGUUAAAUGGGAUCUCGUGAACUCUCCGAGUUGAGAUGUUCAAUGUUGCGUCCAUUAACGCUGCAAGUGCUAAUGAUGGUUAUGUGAUCUUGGUUUAUUUUGCACUAGACA